UCAAAUAAGUCCAAAAGAAUUAGGGUUUUGAAAUCAAACAAAUUUAGAGAUGAGGAUCACGCAUAUCAAAUAGCAGAUAACCUUAGAACUACAAUGAACCCCAAAUCUUAGAGUGUUUGCAUCAAUCGAGUGUAGAGGUUAAAGACAAGUAAUCAAGCAAAUAUUAUUAAGAAAAUAUUCAGAAACCUCAAAAGAAACUACGAUUCUCAACAUACAAAUUCUAGAAAGACAAAGGGACACAGUAAAGGGGAAACACAUAAAAACACAGUAGAAGUACAACAUAAGAAACACGAUAAAACAUGUUAAAUACAGAAAAAGUUGUGGGAUAACUUAACAAAACCCUAAAUUUGAAAAGAUAAAGGUUUUGAAAGCAGAGUUUUGAAGGAAAUAUCGGACAGAUCUAGAACAGAUCUAAAAGAAUUAGAAGAACCUCGAAGGUUUAGGUUUUCUAAAGAACCCCAAAUAGUGAGAAAGGCUUUGAAAGUCAUUAUCUAAGCAGGAGACGUCAAGAACAGGCUUGAACAGCCAUGGCUGGCCGGAGCAAGGUCGGAUACAGCCAAAGAACUUGAAUCAAACAAGGUUUGGGCCAAGCUUCUUCAAGGUAUGACCUCGAAACCAUGGUAAUCAGGCAUGUAAGGAUCAUAUGAGGUAGAUGCAGGUCAUCAAUGGAUUUGGAUGCCAUGGAUUUGGUCGAUUUUUGGUGGUGAUUGAAGGUGGCAGAUAAGGUUUCUGAGAGAGGUUGAGAGAGAAUUGGGAGAUGGGGGGAUUCUAGGGCAACU
rnacentral:lncRNA from 1 species